rnacentral:rRNA from 1 species
CCUACGGGAGGCUGCAGUAACGAAUCUUCCGCAAUGCGCGAAAGCGUGACGGGGCAAUGCCGCGUGGUGGAUGAAGCCCUUCGGGGUGUAAACACCUGUCAGGGUUUAGGAACACAAUGACCAGACCCAAAGGAAGAGCCGGCUAACUCUGUGCCAGCAGCCGCGGUAAUACAGAGGGCUCGAGCGUUAAUCGGAAUCACUGGGCUUAAAGCGUGCGUAGGCGGGUGCGUAGGCACCUUGUGAAAUCCCCCGGCUCAACCGGGGAAUUGCUUGGU